rnacentral:rRNA from 1 species
UGGGGAAUAUUGCGCAAUGGGCGAAAGCCUGACGCAGCGACGCCGCGUGAGGGAUGAAGGUCUUCGGAUCGUAAACCUCUGUCAGCAGGGAAGAACGGUCACUGUGCUAAUCAGCAGUGAAUUGACGGUACCUGCAAAGGAAGCACCGGCUAACUCCGUGCCAGCAGCCG